rnacentral:lncRNA from 1 species
AGAAGAGAGAUUCUAUUGUCAACUUUAUUUUCAUUUUAUCAAAAUGAAGUUAAUCAAAUAAUCAUGAGAUCUUGGAAUCUUGCUGGGCUGAUUAAACUUCCAAUCACUCCCUAACCUUCACAUAAACAACCCUAAUAUCUACAUAACCAUUCUACACUUAACCAACCUAUAUAAUAUCCCAUAUAACCACUCUACGCUCAAAAUAGUCCUAUACAUAACCCACCAAUUAUUUGGGCGGUAACUUGGAAUUCUUUUGUUUGCAUGAGUGGG